GGAGCUUGCUCCGCUGACGAGUGGCGAACGGGUGAGUAAUAUAUCGGAACGUACCAUUCAGUGGGGGAUAACGUAGCGAAAGUUACGCUAAUACCGCAUAUUCUGUGAGCAGGAAAGCAGGGGAUCGCAAGACCCUGCGCUGAUUGAGCGGCCGAUAUCAGAUUAGCUUGUUGGUGAGGUAAAAGCUCACCAAGGCGACGAUCUGUAGCGGGUCUGAGAGGAUGAUCCGCCACACUGGAACUGAGACACGGUCCAGACUCCUACGGGAGGCAGCAGUGGGGAAUUUUGGACAAUGGGGGCAACCCUGAUCCAGCCAUGCCGCGUGAGUGAAGAAGGCCUUCGGGUUGUAAAGCUCUUUCAGCCGGGAAGAAACGCAUGGGUUAAUACCCUGUGUGGAUGACGGUACCGGAAUAAGAAGCACCGGCUAACUACGUGCCAGCAGCCGCGGUAAUACGUAGGGUGCGAGCGUUAAUCGGAAUUACUGGGCGUAAAGCGUGCGCAGGCGGUUUUGUAAGACAGGCGUGAAAUCCCCGGGCUUAACUUGGGAACUGCGUUUGUGACUGCAAGGCUAGAGUACGGCAGAGGGGGGUGGAAUUCCACGUGUAGCAGUGAAAUGCGUAGAGAUGUGGAGGAACACCAAUGGCGAAGGGAGCCCCCUGGGUCGAUACUGACGCUCAUGCACGAAAGCGUGGGUAGCAAACAGGAUUAGAUACCCUGGUAGUCCACGCCCUAAACGAUGUCAACUAGGUGUUGGGAGGGUAAAACCUUUUAGUACCGGAGCUAACGCGUGAAGUUGACCGCCUGGGGAGUACGGCCGCAAGGUUAAAACUCAAAGGAAUUGACGGGGACCCGCACAAGCGGUGGAUGAUGUGGAUUAAUUCGAUGCAACGCGAAAAACCUUACCUACCCUUGACAUGCCAAGAACUUUCCAGAGAUGGAUUGGUGCCCGAAAGGGAACUUGGACACAGGUGCUGCAUGGCUGUCGUCAGCUCGUGUCGUGAGAUGUUGGGUUAAGUCCCGCAACGAGCGCAACCCUUGUCGUUAAUUGCCAUCUUUUAGUUGGGCACUUUAACGAGACUGCCGGUGACAAACCGGAGGAAGGUGGGGAUGACGUCAAGUCCUCAUGGCCCUUAUGGGUAGGGCUUCACACGUCAUACAAUGGUCGGUACAAAGGGUCGCCAAGCCGCGAGGUGGAGCCAAUCCCAGAAAGCCGAUCGUAGUCCGGAUCGCAGUCUGCAACUCGACUGCGUGAAGUCGGAAUCGCUAGUAAUCGUGGAUCAGAAUGUCACGGUGAAUACGUUCCCAGGUCUUGUACACACCGCCCGUCACACCAUGGGAGCGGGUUCCGCCAGAAGUAGGUAGCCUAACCGCAAGGAGGGCGCUUACCACGGCGGGGUUCGUGACUGGGGUGAAGUCGGA
rnacentral:rRNA from 1 species